rnacentral:rRNA from 1 species
GUGCAAGGCCAUACCACCUGGACACCUCCGAUCUCAUCUACCUCAGAAGCUCAGCAGGUUAGUCCUCAGAUGGGAGAAGCCUUGUUUC